GAGAAGUUGGCUCAGUGGUAGAGUGCUUGCCUCACAUGCAUGAAGCUCUGGGUUCGAUUCCUCAAUACCCCA
rfam:Dipodomys ordii contig_11120, whole genome shotgun sequence.